AUUGAACGCUGGCGGCAUGCCUUACACAUGCAAGUCGAACGGUAACGGUCCUUCGUUUUACGGCGUGGGUCGACCGGGUGCGGAAUACUUCGGAACGUGCCCGCUCCUGGGGGGUAACGGGCCGAAAGCUUUGCUAAUAGCUCAUACGGUCUACGGACUAAAGCAGCGGACCGCAAGGCCUUGCGCUGCCGUAGCGUCCGAUGGCAGUUUAGGUAGUUGGUGGGAUAAAAGCUUACCAAGACGACGAUCUGUAGCUGGUCUGAGAGGAUGAUCAGACACACUGGGACUGAGACACGGCCCAGACUCCUACGGGAGGCAGCAGUGGGGAAUGUUGGACAAUGGGCGCAAGCCUGAUCCAGCAAUGCCGCGUGCAGGAUGAAGGCCUUCGGGUUGUAAACUGCUUUUGUACGGAACGAAAAGCCUUCUUUUAAUACAGGAGGGUCAUGACGGUACUGUAAGAAUAAGCACCGGCUAACUACGUG
rnacentral:rRNA from 1 species